rnacentral:rRNA from 1 species
UUUACUAAGAAUGAAUCCGUAGCGAAAGCAAGUCCUAAGUCGGGCGAACAUAGUAUCGUGCGGCGAGACGCGAACCGUGUGAUCUAGGCAUGACCAGGAUGAAGGCCGGGUAACACCUGCUGGAGGUCCGAACCCACACCUGUUGAAAAAGGUCGGGAUGAGUUGUGCCUAGGGGUGAAAAGGGCCAAUCAAACUCGGAGAUAGCUGGUUCUCCGCGAAAUCUAUUUAGGUAGAGCGUCAUCCGAAUACCCCGGGGGGUAGAGCACUGGAUGGGUAAUGGGGCCCCACAGGCUUACUGAUCCUAACCAAACUCCGAAUACCCGGGAGUACUAGAUGGCAGACAGACGGCGGAUGCUAACGUCCGUCGUCGAGAGGGAAACAACCCUGACCUCCAGCUAAGGCCCCCAAUUCACGGCUAAGUGGGAAAGCAGGUGGGACGACCAAAACAACCAGGAGGUUGGCUUAGAAGCAGCCAUCCUUUAAAGAUAGCGUAACAGCUCACUGGUCUAGACAAGUUGUCCUGCGGCGAAGAUGUAACGGGGCUCAAGCCGU